UACAGAGGGGGCAAGCGUUAUUCGGAAUUAUUGGGCGUAAAGGGCGCGUAGGCGGCUUUGCAAGUGACGGGUGAAAGCCCUCGGCUUAACCGAGGAACUGCCUGUCAGACUGUAAGGCUUGAGACCGGGAGAGGUGAGUGGAAUUCCGAGUGUAGAGGUGAAAUUCGUAGAUAUUAGGAAGAACACCGGUGGCGAAGGCGGCCCACUGGUCCGGUACUGACGCUGAGGUGCGAAAGCGUGGGGAGCAAACAGG
rnacentral:rRNA from 1 species